rnacentral:rRNA from 1 species
GAGAUGGAUGGGUGCCUUCGGGAACCGUGACACAGGUGCUGCAUGGCUGUCGUCAGCUCGUGACGUGAGAUGUUGGGUUAAGUCCCGCAACGAGCGCAACCCUUGUCCUUAGUUGCCAGCACGUAAUGGUGGGAACUCUAAGGAGACCGCCGGUGACAAACCGGAGGAAGGUGGGGAUGACGUCAAGUCAUCAUGGCCCUUACGGCCAGGGCUACACACGUACUACAAUGGUAGGGACAGAGGGCUGCAAGCCGGCGACGGUGAGCCAAUCCCAGAAACCCUAUCUCAGUCCGG